rnacentral:lncRNA from 1 species
GUAAAUCAAUUACAAUUAUAAUAGGAAUUCUUGGUAUGUAAGGAAAGUAAGUCAAUAUCCACAAGUCACGCCAACACUCCCCCUCACGUUGGUGCAUAGAUGUCGCCAAUGCCCAACUGAUCCAGUGAAUUGUGGAAUGCUUUACUGGAAAUUGCCUUUGUCAAAAUAUCCGCCAAUUGAUCCUUGGAUUUCACAAAAGGAAACUGAAACACUUUAGCCUCAAGCUUCC